GGCUCAGAACGAACGCUGGCGGCGUGCCUAACACAUGCAAGUCGAACGAGAAGUACGUAGCAAUACGUAUUGUAAAGUGGCGCACGGGUGAGUAACACGUGGGUAAUCUGCCCUUGAGUUUGGGAUAACCCCGCGAAAGCGGGGCUAAUACCGAAUAAGACCACGGGGACCAAAGUCCCUGAGGUAAAAGGUGGCCUCUAUUUAUAAGCUACCACUUGAGGAUGAGCCCGCGGCCCAUUAGCUAGUUGGCAGGGUAAUGGCCUACCAAGGCAAUGAUGGGUAGCUGGUCUGAGAGGACGAUCAGCCACACUGGAACUGAGACACGGUCCAGACUCCUACGGGAGGCAGCAGUGGGGAAUAUUGCGCAAUGGGCGAAAGCCUGACGCAGCAACGCCGCGUGGGGGAUGAAGGUUCUCGGAUUGUAAACCCCUUUCGAUCGGAACGAAUCCCCUCCUGGUAAAUAAUCAGGAGGAUCGACGGUACCGAGAGAAGAAGCCACGGCUAACUCUGUGCCAGCAGCCGCGGUAAGACAGAGGUGGCGAGCGUUGUUCGGAUUUAUUGGGCGUAAAGCGAACGCAGGUGGUUUGGUAAGUCAGGGGUGAAAGACCACAGCUUAACUGUGGCAUUGCCUUUGAUACUGCCUUUCUUGAGUAGAGUAGGGGGAAGCGGAAUUCCGAGUGUAGAGGUGAAAUUCGUAGAUAUUCGGAGGAACACCGGUGGCGAAGGCGGCUUCCUGGACUCUAACUGACACUCAUGUUCGAAAGCGUGGGGAGCAAACAGGAUUAGAUACCCUGGUAGUCCACGCCCUAAACGAUGGGCACUAGGUGUGGGAGGUAUCGACCCCUUCCGUGCCGCAGCUAACGCAUUAAGUGCCCCGCCUGGGGAGUACGGC
rnacentral:rRNA from 1 species